rnacentral:rRNA from 1 species
AGAGUUUGAUCCUGGCUCAGGACGAACGCUGGCGGCGUGCUUAACACAUGCAAGUCGAACGGAAAGGCCCUUCGGGGUACUCGAGUGGCGAACGGGUGAGUAACACGUGGGUGAUCUGCCCUGCACUUUGGGAUAAGCCUGGGAAACUGGGUCUAAUACCGAAUAUGACCAUGCACUUCCUGGUGUGUGGUGGAAAGCUUUUGCGGUGUGGGAUGGGCCCGCGGCCUAUCAGCUUGUUGGCGGGGUAAUGGCCUACCAAGGCGACGACGGGUAGCCGGCCUGAGAGGGUGACCGGCCACACUGGGACUGAGAUACGGCCCAGACUCCUACGGGAGGCAGCAGUGGGGAAUAUUGCACAAUGGGCGCAAGCCUGAUGCAGCGACGCCGCGUGAGGGAUGACGGCCUUCGGGUUGUAAACCUCUUUCAGCACAGACGAAGCGCAAGUGACGGUAUGUGCAGAAGAAGGACCGGCCAACUACGUGCCAGCAGCCGCGGUAAUACGUAGGGUCCGAGCAUUGUCCGGAAUUACUGGGCGUAAAGAGCUCGUAGGUGGUUUGUCGCGUUGUUCGUGAAAACUCACAGCUUAACUGUGGGCGUGCGGGCGAUACGGGCAGACUUGAGUACUGCAGGGGAGACUGGAAUUCCUGGUGUAGCGGUGGAAUGCGCAGAUAUCAGGAGGAACACCGGUGGCGAAGGCGGGUCUCUGGGCAGUAACUGACGCUGAGGAGCGAAAGCGUGGGGAGCGAACAGGAUUAGAUACCCUGGUAGUCC